AUUGAACGCUGGCGGCAGGCCUAACACAUGCAAGUCGAGCGGAUGAAGGGAGCUUGCUCCUGGAUUCAGCGGCGGACGGGUGAGUAAUGCCUAGGAAUCUGCCUGGUAGUGGGGUAUAACGUCCGGAAACGGGCGCUAAUACCGCAUACGUCCUGAGGAAGAAAGUGGGGGAUCUUCGGACCUCACGCUAUCAGAUGAGCCUAGGUCGGAUUAGCUAGUUGGUGGGGUAAAGGCCUACCAAGGCGACGAUCCGUAACUGGUCUGAGAGGAUGAUCAGUCACACUGGAACUGAGACACGGUCCAGACUCCUACGGGAGGCAGCAGUGGGGAAUAUUGGACAAUGGGCGAAAGCCUGAUCCAGCCAUGCCGCGUGUGUGAAGAAGGUCUUCGGAUUGUAAAGCACUUUAAGUUGGGAGGAAGGGCAGUAAGUUAAUACCUUGCUGUUUUGACGUUACCAACAGAAUAAGCACCGGCUAACUUCGUG
rnacentral:rRNA from 1 species